rnacentral:rRNA from 1 species
CGCAUCUGUGCAUGCAGCAUAUCAAUAAGCGGAGGAAAAGUCAACUACCUACGCUUAGGAUGUUGACGAGACUGUCGAUCUCAUCUAUACAUGACUCUGUGCAUAUCAAUAAGCGGAGGAAAAGCUAUACCUACGCUUAGGAUGUUGACGAGACUGUCGAUCUCAUCUAUACAUGACUCUGUGCAUAUCAAUAAGCGGAGGAAAAGAAACUAACAAGGAUUCCCUUAGUAACGGCGAGUGAAGCGGGGAGGAGCUCAAAUUUGAAAUCUUCAAGGGUUUACCUUUACGAAUUGUAGUUUAAAGAAGUGUUUUCUGUUGAGGUUUUGGUAAAAGUUCUUUGGAAUAGGACAUCAUAGAGGGUGAGAAUCCCGUAUUUGACCUUUACUUUCAACUUUGCGAUACACUUUCAAAGAGUCGGAUUGUUUGGGAAUGCAGUCCAAAAUGGGUGGUAAAUUUCAUCUAAAGCUAAAUAUUGGCGAGAGACCGAUAGCGAACAAGUACCGUGAGGGAAAGAUGAAAAGAACUUUGAAAAGAGAGUUAAACAGUACGUGAAAUUGUCAAAAGGGAAGCGUUUGACACCAGUGUUGUUUUUCUGAAAAUCAAUUAAAGAACUGUUUAUGCUAAGCUGUUUAGACUUUAUCAGCUAUCUGUUUAGUUUUGAGCUUUUCUUUAAUGCACUUUUCAGUUAACAAGUCAACAUCAAUUUCUUUUGCUGUAAAAAAGCUUGAGGAAGGUGGCUUGAGAUUCGUCUUAAGUGUUUAUAGCCUCUUGCCUAUGCAGUCGGAGAGAUUGAGGUCUGCAGCGUAGAUCCUUCGGGGCUAAAUGCAUUUGUGCUAAGUUAUAGCAUUUUAUAGACAACUUGUUGACUAUGAUUUGUCUUGUAGCUUACUCGCUUAUGUUAUUUUACCUACGCUUAGGAUGUUGACGAGACUGUCGAUCUC